rnacentral:rRNA from 1 species
AAGUAUUGAGACAGUUCGGUACAUAUCUGCCGUGUGCGCUGGAGAAUUGAGGGUGGCUGCUCCUAGUAAGAGAGGACAGGAUUGGACGCAUCACUGGUGUUCGGGUUGUCAUGCCAAUGGCAAUGCCCGGUAGCUAAAUGCGUAAGAGAUAAGUUAUGAAAGCAUCUAAGCACGAAACUUGCCCAGAGAUGAGAUCUCAAUGAGACUUUAAUUA